rfam:Asian citrus Psyllid, Diaphorina citri - Florida Strain, whole genome shotgun sequence.
GCCUCGGUGGCGUAGUGGUCAAGACGCUCGCCUGGUAAUCAGGAGGGCGUGGGUUCGAUCCCAGCCGAGGCA